GUGAGGAUAGCUCAGUUAGGAGAGCGUCAAAUUAAUGAUCUAAUGGUCACAUGUUUGAUCCAUGUUCAUCGCA
rfam:Gossypium arboreum cultivar AKA8401 contig_23622_1, whole genome shotgun sequence.